rnacentral:rRNA from 1 species
UACGAAGGGGGCUAGCGUUGUCCGGAAUCAUUGGGCGUAAAGCGCGUGUAGGCGGCCCGGUAAGUCCGCUGUGAAAGUCGGGGGCUCAACCCUCGAAUGCCGGUGGAUACUGUCGGGCUAGAGUGCGGAAGAGGCGAGUGGAAUUCCUGGUGUAGCGGUGAAAUGCGCAGAUAUCAGGAGGAACACCAAUUGCGAAGGCAGCUCGCUGGGACGUGACUGACGCUGAGGUGCGAAAGCGUGGGGAGCAAACAGG